rnacentral:rRNA from 2 species
UUUCCCUCAGGAUAGCUGGCACUCGCUUGAGCGAGUCUCAUCUGGUAAAGCGAAUGAUUAGAGGCCUUGGGGCCGAAACGACCUCAACCUAUUCUCAAACUUUAAAUGGGUGAGAUCUCUGGCUUGCUUGAACGUUGAAGCCACGAGAUUAUGCAAUGGAUCAGAGUGCCAAGUGGGCCAAUUUUGGUAAGCAGAACUGGCGCUGUGGGA